rnacentral:rRNA from 1 species
GGGGGUACCUGCGGAAGGAUCAUUAAAUUUCUUGGGCGUGCCCAUGUCGGGGGUCGUGUGUCAUAACGUUUAAUCGUAUAGACGUGCGCCCUGGCUGCAUCCUUGUCUAUUGCGUACUAUUUGUUUCCUCGGCGGGCUUGCUCGCCGAUUGGACAACUAUUAUACUCUUUUGUAAUUGUAAUCAGCGUCUGAAUAAACUAUAAUAGUUACAACUUUCAACAACGGAUCUCUUGGUUCUGGCAUCGAUGAAGAACGCAGCGAAAUGCGAUAAGUAGUGUGAAUUGCAGAAUUCAGUGAAUCAUCGAAUCUUUGAACGCACAUUGCGCCCCUUGGUAUUCCAUGGGGCAUGCCUGUUCGAGCGUCAUUUGUACCUUCAAGCUUUGCUUGGUGAUGGGUGUUUGUCCUGCCCUCUGCGGCUGGACUCGCCUUAAAAUUAUUGGCAGCCGGCAUAUUGGCCUUUGGAGCGCAGCACAUUUUGCGAUCUAAGCCGUUAUACUGGUACCCAUAAAGCGUACUUUCUCACUUUUGACCUCGGAUCAGGUAGGGAUACCCGCUGAACUUAAGCAUAUCAAUAAGGCGGAGGAAUCAUUAAAUUUCUUGGGCGUGCCCAUGUCGGGGGUCGUGUGUCAUAACGU